rnacentral:lncRNA from 1 species
CCUCACAGAACAAGAAAAAAAACACACAAGAAAAAAGGGAGGCUCUCGGCUCUCUCUCUUGGCUCUCAACCGAACAAAAAAAGAAAGAAAGCUCCUUCACUCUCUCGGCCAUAUCCCUCUCCUUGCUCACUUCACACAACAUACCCACACACUAUUCAGACACAAGGAGGCAGCCGCCGAUUGGACAAAGAGCUUGGAACUUCCUCAAAAUUUUAGUCAAGGG